UACGGCCACGUCACAUUGAAACAUCGGUUCUCGUACGAUCGCCAAUGUUAAGCAACGUCGAGCCUGGGUAAUACCUAGAUGGGUGAAAACCUGGGAAGUCCAGGGGCUGUAAG